CCUACGUGUGGCAGCAGUGAGGAAUAUUGGUCAAUGGCCGGAAGGCUGAACCAGCCAUGCCGCGUGAAGGUCAGUGCCCUAUGGGCGUUAAACUUCUUUUGUGCGGGAGCAAUAAUGGUCACGUGUGGCCAGACGAGAGUACCGUACGAAUAAGCAUCGGCAAACUCCGUGCCAGGAGCCGCGGUAAUACGGGGGAUGCAAGCGUUAUCCGGAUUUAAUGGGUUUAAAGGUCGCGUAGGCUGGGAGGUAAGUCAGCGGGGAAAUGCCCCCGCUCAACGGGGUGAAGUGCCAUUGAUACUGGCUUGCUGGAAUGCGGAUGCGGUGGGAGGAAUGUGUGGUGUAGCGGUGAAAUGCAUAGAUAUCACACAGAACACCGAUUGCGAAGGCAUCUAACGAAUCCGCGAUUGACGCUGAUGCACGAAAGCGUGGGUAUCAAACAGGAUUAGAUACCCCAGUAGUC
rnacentral:rRNA from 1 species